UACAGAGGUCCCGAGCGUUGUUCGGAUUCACUGGGCGUAAAGGGUGCGUAGGCGGCGCGGUAAGUCGGGUGUGAAAUCUCGGAGCUUAACUCCGAAACUGCAUUCGAUACUGCCGUGCUUGAGGACUGGAGAGGAGACUGGAAUUUACGGUGUAGCGGUGAAAUGCGUAGAUAUCGUAAGGAAGACCAGUGGCGAAGGCGGGUCUCUGGACAGUUCCUGACGCUGAGGCACGAAGGUCAGGGGAGCGAACGGG
rnacentral:rRNA from 1 species